CCCUUAGACGUUCUGGGCCGCACGCGCGCUACACUGACCAGUGCAACAAGCAUCCGUCCUUGGCCGACAGGCUCGGGCAAUCUUUGAACGCUGGUCGUGAUGGGGAUAGACUUUUGCAAUUUUUGGUCUUCAACGAGGAAUUCCUAGUAAACGCAAGUCAUCAACUUGCAUUGAUUACGUCCCUGCCCUUUGUACACACCGCCCGUCGCACCUACCGAUUGAAUGGUUUAGUGAGAUCCUUGGAUUGGUCCCGGGAUGGUGGGAAACUGCCGCUCCGGUGUGCUGAGAAGACGAUCAAACUUGAUCAUUUAGAGGAAGUAAAAGUCGUAACA
rnacentral:rRNA from 1 species